rnacentral:rRNA from 1 species
GAUGAACGCUGACAGAAUGCUUAACACAUGCAAGUCAACUUGAAUUUGGGUUUUUAACUUAGAUUUGGGUGGCGGACGGGUGAGUAACGCGUAAAGAACUUGCCUCACAGCUAGGGACAACAUUUAGAAAUGAAUGCUAAUACCUGAUAUUAUGAUUUUAAGGCAUCUUAGAAUUAUGAAAGCUAUAAGCACUGUGAGAGAGCUUUGCGUCCCAUUAGCUAGUUGGAGAGGUAACAGCUCACCAAGGCGAUGAUGGGUAGCCGGCCUGAGAGGGUGAACGGCCACAAGGGGACUGAGACACGGCCCCUACUCCUACGGGAGGCAGCAGUGGGGAAUAUUGGACAAUGGACCGAAAGUCUGAUCCAGCAAUUCUGUGUGCACGAUGAAGUUUUUCGGAAUGUAAAGUGCUUUCAGUUGGGAAGAAAGAAAUGACGGUACCAACAGAAGAAGUGACGGCUAAAUACGUGCCAGCAGCCGCGGUAAUACGUAUGUCACGAGCGUUAUCCGGAUUUAUUGGGCGUAAAGCGCGUCUAGGUGGUUAUGUAAGUCUGAUGUGAAAAUGCAGGGCUCAACUCUGUAUUGCGUUGGAAACUGUAUAACUAGAGUACUGGAGAGGUAAGCGGAACUACAAGUGUAGAGGUGAAAUUCGUAGAUAUUUGUAGGAAUGCCGAUGGGGAAGCCAGCUUACUGGACAGAUACUGACGCUAAAGCGCGAAAGCGUGGGUAGCAAACAGG